UACGUAGGGUGCAAGCGUUAAUCGGAAUUACUGGGCGUAAAGAGUGUGUAGGCGGUGCUCUAAGUUUGGUGUGAAAUCUCCCGGCUCAACUGGGAGGGUGCGCCGAAAACUGGAAUGCUUGAACAUGGGAGAGGAAAGCGGAAUUCCUGGUGUAGCGGUGAAAUGCGUAGAUAUCAGGAGGAACACCUGCGGUGUAGACGGCUUUCUGGACCAUUGUUGACGCUGAGACACGAAAGCGUGGGUAGCAAACAGG
rnacentral:rRNA from 1 species